rnacentral:tRNA from 1 species
CAUUAUAUAGCUUAAGCAAAGCAUAAGCCUCUUAAGCUUUAAGAUACAAACCUCU